rnacentral:rRNA from 1 species
UACAGAGGUCCCGAGCGUUGUUCGGAUUCAUUGGGCGUAAAGGGUUCGUAGGUGGCCUACUAAGUCAGACGUGAAAUCCCUCAGCUCAACUGGGGAACUGCGUCUGAGACUGGAAGGCUUGAGUGCAGGAGAGGAACGCGGAAUUCCAGGUGUAGCGGUGAAAUGCGUAGAUAUCUGGAGGAACACCGGUGGCGAAGGCGGCGUUCUGGACUGUUACUGACACUGAGGAACGAAAGCCAGGGGAGCAAACGGG